rnacentral:rRNA from 1 species
GAUGAACGCUGGCGGCGUGCCUCAAACAUGCAAGUCGAGCGAGGCUAUGAAUUACCGCAAGGUAAGGCAUAGCCUAGCGGCGAACGGGUGAGUAACACGUGGGUAACCUACCUGGAAGACAGGGAUAACGAUUCGAAAGGGUCGCUAAUACCUGAUAAUAUCCAUCUGCCGGAUGGCGGAGGGAAGAAAGGGGAAACCCGCUUUCAGAUGGGCCCGCGUCCCAUCAGCUAGUUGGUAAGGUAAAGGCUUACCAAGGCGACGACGGGUAGCCGGUCUGAGAGGAUGUACGGCCACACUGGGACUGAGAUACGGCCCAGACUCCUACGGGAGGCAGCAGUUGGGAAUCUUAGGCAAUGGACGAAAGUCUGACCUAGCGACGCCGCGUGAGGGAAGAAGGCCUGGUUGUAACUCUGUCAUGGGGAAGAAGGAAGUGACGGUACCCAACGAGGAAGCCCUCGCUAACUACGUG